CAUGAAUAUCGGCUUGGAACUAGUGAAAUCAAAUCAACGUGGUCUGACCAGACGGUCUGAUCCAGGUUUUAGAACUGAUUUUGAGUUUUGACCGGCCGGGGAUUCGAGCGAGCUGCAACUGCCAAUUAGCUCUGCAAGUGCUCUGCUCCCACACAGAAUGCAAUUCGUCAUUCUUUAACGACCCUCUACCUGUGAACCCAAAUGUCUCAAUUGAAAAGGUUGCUAUAAGCUUCUUUCCGUAGCUUCCCUAAGAAAGGCAUGGCUUUGGCCUUAAGGCCUUCUAUGAGAGGAUUAUGUAGACUCUCAAGCCUUGCUUCUACCCAGUGCAAAGACCCGUUGGUUGCAUAUUCAGCACCAAAUGACUUAUCUUUAAGAAUCCAACCCCUUUUUCCCUUGAACAUGCUUGAAGUCAACUCCCAAUUGAAGCAUCUGGUUAAAACCGAUCGCUUGGAAGACGCUCGCCAAAUGUUUGAUAAAAUGCGUUCCAGAGACGAGAUCUCGUGGACUACAAUUAUAUCUGGAUAUGUCAACGCCACGGACACCACUGAGGCCUUAACGUUGUUCUCCAAAAUGUGGGUUGAGCCUGGACUCCACAUGGACCCCUUUAUACUAAGCCUUGCACUAAAAGCUUGUGGGCUCAGUUUGUGUGCGAGUUUUGGUGAAUCGAUGCAUGCGUAUUCGGUAAAAACCGAUUUUGUCAACUCAGUUUUUGUGGGGAGUGCCCUUCUGGAUAUGUACAUGAAAGUUGGUAAAAUUGAACAAGGCUGCAGGGUGUUUCGUGAGAUGCCUGUAAGAAAUGUAGUGUCCUGGACUGCAAUUAUAACAGGGCUUGUUCAUGCUGGUUACAGUAAGGAGGGGCUGGUUUACUUCUCUGAAAUGUGGAGAUCAAAGGUGGUCUGUGACUCCUAUACAUUUGCUAUUGCAUUAAAGGCAUGUGCUGAUUCGGGUGCUUUGAAUUAUGGGAGAGAGAUUCAUUGUCAAAUAUUGAAGAGAAGCCUUGAAGCAAGCUCAUUUGUGGCCAACACUCUUGCUACCGUGUAUAACAAAUGUGGGAAGUUGGACUAUGGUUCAUAUUUGUUUGAGAAGAUGACCAUAAGGAAUGUGGUUUCCUGGACAAUGAUCAUAACCACAUAUACUCAGAUUGGUCAAGAGGAAAAUGCUCUUAGAGCAUUUAUAAGAAUGCAAGAAAUAGGUGUGAGGCCUAAUGAAUACACUUUUGCUGCAGUCAUCUCCGGUUGUGCCAAUCUUGCGAGAAUUGAAUGGGGUGAACAAUUGCAUGCCCACAUGUUAUCUCAGGGUCUAAUGGGUUCUCCUUCAGUGGCCAAUUCCAUCAUGACCAUGUAUUCAAAAUGUGGACAGUUAAUUUCAACUGCAAUAGUGUUUCAAGAAUUGACUCGAAGAGAUAUUGUUUCAUGGAGCACAAUAAUUGCAGGAUAUUCUCAAGAAGGGUGUGCAGAAGAAGCAUUUGAACACCUAUCAUGGAUGAGAAGGGAAGGGCCAAAACCAAAUGAAUUUACUCUUGCUAGUGUACUGAGUGUUUGUGGAAACAUGGCAAUCCUUGAGCAAGGGAAGCAAUUGCAUGCCCAUGCCUUGCAUGUUGGGUUAGAAGAAACUGCAAUGGUCCGAAGUUCAUUAAUCAAUAUGUAUUCCAAAUGUGGAAGCUUAAAGGAAGCUUCAAAAAUCUUUGAUGAGGCAGACGAUGAUGAUAUUGUGUCAUGGACAGCUAUGAUUAAUGGAUAUGCUGAACAUGGACGCAGCCAGGAAGCCAUUAAUUUAUUUGAGAAGAUACCCCAGAAUGGUUUGAGACCGGAUUCUGUGACUUUCAUUGGUGUUCUUACUGCUUGUAGUCAUGCUGGACUAGUUGAUCUUGGUUUCCAUUACUUCAAUUCAAUGCGUAAUGAAUACCAAAUUUACCCCUCAAAAGAGCACUAUGGCUGCAUGAUUGAUCUCCUUUGCCGAGCUGGACGAUUAAGUGAUGCAGAGAGCAUGAUUAAAAGCAUGCCAUUUCAGAAGGAUGAUGUUGUUUGGUCAACACUUCUUAGAGCAUGCAGGGUGCAUGGUGAUGUUGAUUGUGGAAGGCGUACUGCAGAAAAGAUCCUUGAAUUAGAUCCCAAUUGUGCAGCUACUCACAUUACCUUGGCCAACAUAUAUGCUGCCAAAGGAAGGUGGAAUGAGGCUGCAAAUGCAAGGAAGCAGAUGAAAUUAAAAGGGAUAAUAAAGGAACCAGGGUGGUCUUGGAUUAAGGUCAAGGAUAGAGUUUCAACAUUCACAUCUCGUGAUCAGUCUCAUCCCCAGGGUGAAGACAUAUAUAAAAUGCUUGAUUUAUUAGUCUCCAAGGCAGAAAAACCUGUUUUGGAAAUAGAUUCUCUAAAUGAUGCCAACUAUUAGCUGAGGUGAGCCAUUUUCCAUCAUUGAAUGUAGAUUCAAGUUAAGAUUAACUUAUGCAGACACUUUUAGGAGCUGCAUGUCAGCAAAUAUGAGAAGGAGAUUAAAUCUGGUUGAUAUAGAUUGCAAAAGGAAGCUAGAAAGGAUACUCUUACAGUUACAAAGAUAUAUAAAAAAAAAAAUAGGCGGCAGAAAGUCUCAUGUGGAGGAUCUUCUUAUGGUUGAACUGCUGCACUUUAUGCUAAACGAGUUGCUGACGUUAGAAGAUAGCAACAAGCAUACAUCUCGCUCAUGCAGGUCACAAAUUUUUAAUAGAAGCUUACUUUUGUGAUCAAAGAUGUAGUCGAUGAUGGAUGAUGAACCUAAGUUGCUGAUGCAUCCUAUCAUGCGGUAUGGAGUGUAACGUAUGUUUAUGUUCUUGUAGAGAGAAUCUACAAGAAUAGAUGGACUGCAUCUCUCUUAGCUGCAUAAAAUUAGCGAAGCAUGACCACAUGCUAUAGGAUGAUACAUUGAUCUUAGGAACAUGAAUGAAUUUGUAGGUUUUGUUUCUUCAUUGAACUUGUGCAAUUAGGAGAAUAAUUUUUUAACUCUUGAUAACUUCUGAUCUUCAGGUGAUAUUAUUUGCGUAGAGAGUUGGAGAUUGGAAUGCAUUUCGACAAUUCAAUCGUACUGUUUGUGAAUGAUAAAUUCUCUUGUGGGGCUGUGUUUUCAAAUGAUUAAAUUAUACAUCUUAUGUUUGAGAUUCAAAAUGGGAACACUAUUGGAAAUUUAGUUGUUCCAUGAAGUUUAGAUCUUGAAGUUGGGUUGGAAUUCAAGGAGUAGGAGUGUUUCCCCUCUACUUUUCAGUCCAUUAAAAUGAAAGGAGAGAGAAAGGGACACGUGGAGAUGUGAAAGUAGAAGAGUUAUGAUAAAGCAGUGCAAAACCAAUUGUGAUAAAGAAGGGGAGAUUGACAAAUGUAGCCUUCUUUGUGGCAUAGUUCUAUCUGCAAGUUGUCUUCUCCUUACCGAAUUUGUACAAUACAAGCUCAGGAAUUCUAAAAUUUACAAAGAAGGAUGACAUUUUUUCUUUGCAGAAGGAUGACAUUUUUUCUUUGCAGAAGAAUGACAAAUUUUCUUCGAAACACAAGGAGCGGCUGCUGAUGGGAUUCUUCACCAAAUUAAAAAAUCAUUAUUCAUAUAUAUAGGGGUAUUUGGAUAUGAAGAAUUCGAAUUUUGAUCUAGAUACCUUGGCCACUUGGUUAUCCCAAGCUAGGCAGUGUUCAAUACUUAAAUUACAUGAAAAAAAAAAAAAAAAGAGAAAGAAAUUAUUGUCGA